rnacentral:rRNA from 1 species
UUGAACGCUGGCGGCAGGCUUAACACAUGCAAGUCGAGCGGUAACAGGAGAAGUUUGUUUCUUGCUGACGAGCGGCGGACGGGUGAGUAACGCGUAGGAAUCUGCCUAGCAGUGGGGGAUAGCCCGGAGAAAUCCGGAUUAAUACCGCAUACGCCCUUCGGGGGAAAGAAGGCCUAUUUAUAUGCUUUCACUGUUAGAUGAGCCUGCGUGAGAUUAGCUAGUUGGUAGGGUAAAGGCCUACCAAGGCGUCGAUCUGUAGCCGGCCUGAGAGGGUGAUCGGCCACACUGGAACUGAGACACGGUCCAGACUCCUACGGGAGGCAGCAGUGGGGAAUAUUGCACAAUGGGCGAAAGCCUGAUGCAGCCAUGCCGCGUGUGUGAAGAAGGCCUUCGGGUUGUAAAGCACUUUCAGUUGUGAGGAAAGGGGUGUAGUUAAUAGCUGCAUUCUGUGACGUUAACAACAGAAGAAGCACCGGCUAACUUCGUGCCAGCAGCCGCGGUAAUACGAGGGGUGCAAGCGUUAAUCGGAAUUACUGGGCGUAAAGCGCGCGUAGGUGGUCAAGUCAGUCAACUGUGAAAGCCCUGGGCUCAACCUGGGAACUGCAGCUGAUACUGCUUGACUCGAGUAUGGUAGAGGGGUGUGGAAUUUCCUGUGUAGCGGUGAAAUGCGUAGAUAUAGGAAGGAACAUCAGGUGGCGAAGGCGACACCCUGGACCAAUACUGACACUGAGGUGCGAAAGCGGGGGGAGCAAACAGGAUUAGAUCCCCUGGUAGUCCACGCCGUAAACGAUGUCUACUAGCCGUUGGGGAACUUGAUUCUUUAGUGGCGCAGCUAACGCGAUAAGUAGACCGCCUGGGGAGUACGGUCGCAAGAUUAAAACUCAAAUGAAUUGACGGGGGCCCGCACAAGCGGUGGAGCAUGUGGUUUAAUUCGAUGCAACGCGAAGAACCUUACCAUCCCUUGACAUCCAGAGAAUGGGCUAGAGAUAGCUUAGUGCCUUCGGGAACUCUGAGACAGGUGCUGCAUGGCUGUCGUCAGCUCGUGUCGUGAGAUGUUGGGUUAAGUCCCGUAACGAGCGCAACCCUUAUCCUUAUUUGCCAGCACUUCGGGUGGGAACUCUAAGGAGACUGCCGGUGACAAACCGGAGGAAGGUGGGGACGACGUCAAGUCAUCAUGGCCCUUACGGGAUGGGCUACACACGUGCUACAAUGGCCGGUACAGAGGGCAGCAAACCAGCGAUGGUAAGCAAAUCUCAGAAAACCGGUCGUAGUCCGGAUCGGAGUCUGCAACUCGACUCCGUGAAGUCGGAAUCGCUAGUAAUCGCGAAUCAGAAUGUCGCGGUGAAUACGUUCCCGGGCCUUGUACACACCGCCCGUCACACCAUGGGAGUGGAUUGCACCAGAAGUAGGUAGCUUAACCUUAGGGAGGGCGCUUACCACGGUGUGGUUCAUGACUGGGGUGA